UCUUAUCGCGUCGUUAUCAUUAUACCAUAAUUCUUCGAACUUCAAGUUAAUCAUAAACUCGCAUAACAUUAUUAUUUAUAAAAAUGCAAUCUUUUUAAUUCUUCGAAUCUCAUGUCAGCGAGUAACUAAGUAAGCAAAUAAAUAUAUACGUUCUCGUAACAAACAAUCGAUUCGUUAUUAAAUUUUUAACCAAUCAAAAUAUUACAAACGUCUUAAUACUUUUGACCAAUAGAAAGACAGGAGCAAAUCUUUUAUCCUCGAUAAGUUACCAAUGUGAUAAGUUUACCGUCACUUAAUCAAGAAAGAAAUUCAGUUUUAUAAAGUCGGUCAAUUAUUCGUCAUUAAUUAAGUUAACAAACAAGAAGAGAUUGAGUGUUUAAGUAUAAAUGUCUCCUUGGAUAAAAGAAACAAGUUAAAAAAGUAGAAGAGGAUUAAUUAAUAUACGAACAUAAGAUGAACACGAUCAAACAAAAUCUAUUAAAUAGAGAACUCUGCAGCAAAUGCAGAAAAUAUCAAUCAUUGUUUAAAGAUUUAGAAAACAAUACAAAUUAUUGCAAUUGUUUGAAAAUAAAGGAUGAAAUGGACGAUGAA